rnacentral:rRNA from 1 species
CCUACGGGUGGCAGCAGUGGGGAAUAUUGCACAAUGGGGGAAACCCUGAUGCAGCGACGCCGCGUGAGUGAAGAAGUAUUUCGGUACGUAAAGCUCUAUCAGCCGGGAAGAAAAUGACGGUACCUGACUAAGAAGCCCCGGCUAACUACGUGCCAGCAGCCGCGGGAAUACGUAGGGGGCAAGCGUUAUCCGGAUUUACUGGGUGUAAAGGGAGCGUAGACGGCAGCGCAAGUCUGGAGUGAAAUCCCAUGGCUUAACCAUGGAACUGCUUUGGAAACUGUGCAGCUAGAGUGCAGGAGAGGUAAGCGGAAUUCCUAGGGUAGCGGUGAAAGGCGUAGAGAUUAGGAGGAACACCAGUGGCGAAGGCGGCUUACUGGACUGUAACUGACGUUGAGGCUCGAAAGCGUGGGGAGCAAACAGGAUUAGAUACCCUAGUAGUC